UACAGAGGUCUCAAGCGUUGUUCGGAUUCAUUGGCGUAAAGGGUGCGUAGGUGGCGGGGUAAGUCUGGUGUGAAAUCUCGGAGCUCAACUCCGAAACUGCACUGGAUACUGCCUUGCUUCGAGUACUGGAGAGGAGAUUGGAAUUUACGGUGUAGCAGUGAAAUGCGUAGAUAUCGUAAGGAAGACCAGUGGCGAAGGCGGGUUGCUAGGCUGACACUGACGCUGAUGCGCGAAAGCUAGGGAGCAAACGGG
rnacentral:rRNA from 1 species